GGAGAGAUGCUGGAGCGACUGACCGAACCCGUCCCGAAAACGGGAGUCGGGCAACGCUACUGGGGGUUCAAAUCCCCCCGUCUCUCCA
rnacentral:tRNA from 1 species